rnacentral:rRNA from 1 species
CAAAACGACUCUCGGCAACGGAUAUCUCGGCUCUCGCAUCGAUGAAGAACGUAGCGAAAUGCGAUACUUGGUGUGAAUUGCAGAAUCCCGUGAACCAUCGAGUCUUUGAACGCAAGUUGCGCCCAAAGCCUUCUGGUUGAGGGCACGUCUGCCUGGGU